rnacentral:rRNA from 1 species
CCAAUAGCGUAUAUUAAAGUUGUUGCAGUUAAAAAGCUCGUAGUUGAAUUUCGGGAUCAAUAUGUCGGUCGUGCCUCCGGUACGUACUGGCGUCAUUGGUUUCUCCCUUCUGAUGAACCACGAUGUCAUUAAUUUGGUGUCAUGGGGAAUCAGGACUGUUACUUUGAAAAAAUUAGAGUGUUUAAAGCAGGCUCACGCUUGAAUACAUUAGCAUGGAAUAAUGAAAUAGGACGUUUGAUUCUAUUUUGUUGGUUUCUAGGAUCGACGUAAUGAUUAAUAGGGAUAGUUGGGGGCAUUGGUAUUCAAUUGUCAGAGGUGAAAUUCUUGGAUUUAUUGAAGACUAACUACUGCGAAAGCAUUUGCCAAGGAUGUUUUCAUUAAUCAAGAACGAAAGUUAGGGGAUCGAAGACGAUCAGAUACCGUCGUAGUCUUAACCAUAAACUAUGCCGACUAGGGAUCGGAUGAUGUUAAUUUUUUAAUGACUCAUUCGGCGCCUUACG